GAGAGUUUGAUCCUGGCUCAGAACGAACGCUGGCGGCGUGCUUAACACAUGCAAGUCGAGUGCGCGUACCGUAGCAAUACGGUAUGGCGCACGGCGCACGGGUGCGUAACACGUGGGCAAUCUGCCCUUCGAUGGGGAAUAACUUCGGGAAACCGAAGCUAAUUCCGCAUAACAUUCCUUGGAUUUCGGUUCGAGGACUCAAAGCCGUAAGGCGUCGAAGGAGGAGCCCGCGCCCGAUUAGCUAGUUGGUGAGGUAAUGGCUCACCAAGGCAAUGAUCGGUAGCUGGUCUGAGAGGAUGGCCAGCCACACUGGAACUGAGACACGGUCCAGACUCCUACGGGAGGCAGCAGUGGGGAAUCUUGCGCAAUGGGCGAAAGCCUGACGCAGCGACGCCGCGUGGGGGAUGAAGCAUUUCGGUGUGUAAACCCCUUUCGACUGGGACGAAUGCCUCGCAAGAGGAGUGACGGUACCAGUAGAAGAAGCCCCGGCUAACUACGUGCCAGCAGCCGCGGUAAGACGUAGGGGGCCAGCGUUGUUCGGAAUUACUGGGUGUAAAGGGUUCGUAGGCGGUGUAGCAAGUUGGGAGUGAAAUCUCUGGGCUUAACC
rnacentral:rRNA from 1 species